rnacentral:rRNA from 1 species
CCCCUAGAUGUUCUGGGCCGCACGCGCGCUACACUGAACAGUUCAACAAGUCUUAACCUUGGCCGAUAGGUCUGGGUAAUCUUUGAACGCUGUUCGUGAUUGGGAUAGACCUUUGCAAUUAUGGGUCUUCAACGAGGAAUUCCUAGUAAACGCAAGUCAUCAGCUUGCAUUGAUUACGUCCCUGCCCUUUGUACACACCGCCCGUCGCACCUAGCGAUUGAAUGGUCCGGUGAAAUCUCGGGACGGCGGCUUGGUCGCUUGCGUCCGACUGCUGAAACUUGAUUAAACCAUAUCAUUUAGAGGAAGGUGAAGUCGUAACA